AAUAGAUACCCGGGUAGUCCACGCCGUAAACGAUGAGUGCUAGGUGUUAGGGGGGUCCAACCCCUUAGUGCUGAAGUUAACACAUUAAGCACUCCGCCUGGGGAGUACGACCGCAAGGUUGAAACUCAAAGGAAUUGACGGGGGGCCCGCACAAGCAGUGGAGCAUGUGGUUUAAUUCGAAGCAACGCGAAGAACCUUACCAGGUCUUGACAUCCUCUGACAACCCUAGAGAUAGGGCGUUCCCCUUCGGGGGACAGAGUGACAGGUGGUGCAUGGUUGUCGUCAGCUCGUGUCGUGAGAUGUUGGGUUAAGUCCCGCAACGAGCGCAACCCUUGAUGUUAGUUGCCAGCAUUCAGUUGGGCACUCUAACGUGACUGCCGGUGACAAACCGGAGGAAGGUGGGGAUGACGUCAAAUCAUCAUGCCCCUUAUGACCUGGGCUACACACGUGCUACAAUGGGCGGUACAAAGGGCAGCGAAACCGCGAGGUGGAGCCAAUCCCAUAAAGCCGCUCUCAGUUCGGAUUGCAGG
rnacentral:rRNA from 1 species